ACUGACUACCAUAUAGAAGUUCUGUUUCUCAUUAAUUAGUUUUAUUUUAUAAAACUUCAUUUGAACUUCCGGUAGCCGGUAAACAAAUUUUCCGAUAAAUUAAAUUUAAAAAUUAGGGCAUCAGCAGUAUUUUCAGUCAUCGACGGUGGAGGAGAAGAUUUUGUUGCUUUCUAGUUUUGAUCGCUAUAGAUUGUGGAGAAUGGAUCAGAACAUAGUGAGUGGAUCGACGAAGAAGAUAAUGUCACCGUGUGAUGUUGAAGCUUUAAAGAAAUGUUUAGAGGAAAAUAAAGGAGAUUAUGUCAAAUGUCAAGCACAAAUUGAAGCAUUUAAGACCUCUUGUUCUGUUAAGACGCAGAAUUCUACUACUUCAACUUCAAGUUUAAACAAUUAAUGGCGGCCCUAGAUAUAUACUAUUGAUGUUUCUUGCUUUAAUGUGCUAAGUUUCAGAAGUUAGUUAAGAUGUGGUAAUUCCAGUUUCAUUGCUAUUCUGUUUUUGAGGAAUUGAACUAUUUGUAUCUCGAGGUUACAGAGUUUUGUUUUGUUUGCUCUCCAAUUUUGCUAGGAAUGUAAUAUAAUUUUACAAAUUUUGGUUCUGUUUGUUUUCAAUUUUGCUAGGAAUUCAGUUGCUUUGAUGUUUACAUUGGUCACAGCUCUGUCCAUUGCGGCAGUGCCUAUACUUGCUGCUGUAAAUUUGAAGCGGUUAUGUAGUUCAACAUGUUGUUUGGCUGUUAUUAAA